rnacentral:rRNA from 1 species
ACAGAGACCUCAAGCGUUAUCCGGAUUUACUGGGUGUAAAGGGUCCGCAGGCGGAUUAGCGGGUCAGAAGUUAAAACUUCGAGCUCAACUCGAAGACUGCUUUUGAAACUACUAAUCUAGAGUUCGGAAGAGGCAAUCGGAAUUGCUGGUGUAGUGGUAAUAAGCGUUGAUAUCAGCAAGAACACCAAAUGCGAAGGCAGAUAGCUAGAACGAACCUGACGCUCAGUGACGAAAGCGUGGGGAGCGAACAG